rnacentral:rRNA from 1 species
AUUGAACGCUGGCGGCAGGCCUAACACAUGCAAGUCGAGCGGAUGAGUGGAGCUUGCUCCAUGAUUCAGCGGCGGACGGGUGAGUAAUGCCUAGGAAUCUGCCUGGUAGUGGGGGACAACGUUUCGAAAGGAACGCUAAUACCGCAUACGUCCUACGGGAGAAAGCAGGGGACCUUCGGGCCUUGCGCUAUCAGAUGAGCCUAGGUCGGAUUAGCUAGUAGGUGAGGUAAAGGCUCACCUAGGCGACGAUCCGUAACUGGUUUGAGAGGAUGAUCAGUCACACUGGAACUGAGACACGGUCCAGACUCCUACGGGAGGCAGCAGUGGGGAAUAUUGGACAAUGGGCGAAAGCCUGAUCCAGCCAUGCCGCGUGUGUGAAGAAGGUCUUCGGAUUGUAAAGCACUUUAAGUUGGGAGGAAGGGCAGUAAGUUAAUACCUUGCUGUUUUGACGUUACCAACAGAAUAAGCACCGGCUGACUUCGUGCCAGCAGCCGCCGUAACAC